rnacentral:rRNA from 1 species
CGGACGGGUGAGUAACGCGUGGAAAACCUGCCGUAUACUGGGGGAUAACACUUAGAAAUAGGUGCUAAUACCGCAUAAGCACACAGCUUCGCAUGAAGCGGUGUGAAAAACUCUGGUGGUAUACGAUGGUUCCGCGUCUGAUUAGCUAGUUGGUGGGGUAAUGGCCUACCAAGGCAACGAUCAGUAGCCGGCCUGAGAGGGUGAACGGCCACAUUGGGACUGAGACACGGCCCAAACUCCUACGGAAGGCAGCAG